rnacentral:rRNA from 1 species
CAGUCGCCGCGGGAAUACGAAGGGGGCUAGCGUUGUUCGGAAUCACUGGGCGUAAAGGGUGCGUAGGCGGAUUUUUAAGUCAGGGGUGAAAUCACGAGGCUCAACCUCGGAACUGCCUUUGAUACUGGGGAUCUUGAGUCCGGAAGAGGUGAGUGGAACUGCGAGUGUAGAGGUGAAAUUCGUAGAUAUUCGCAAGAACACCGGUGGCGAAGGCGGCUCACUGGUCCGGAACUGACGCUGAGGCACGAAAGCGUGGGGAGCAAACAGGAUUAGAUACCCGCGUAGUCCCUGUCUCUUAUAC